rnacentral:sRNA from 18 species
GUAAGCAAUCCUCGGCUAAAGACCGAGGGCUUCAGCAAAAGUUGAAGCCCUAGCUUACCAGACUCAGUACUUCGCGUACUACGUUCAGAGUAAGUGUUAAAGUUCCUACCUAUGGAUGCGUAGCUAGUCUGUAGCUCUAGA